rnacentral:lncRNA from 1 species
UGGAAGUUCAAAUCUGAGGUGUUCUACCUUCAAGAUAAUACCUAGAAGCUCUUUCAUGGCUUGCAUUCUCAAUGAGGACUCUUCUGUCUGAACAUGUGGUGCUGGGAAUUGAACCUUGGGCCCUGCACAGAUGAGGGUUUUAGCGUUGUGAAGAGACACAUGGUGCUGGAGAUGGAGCUGAGAGUUCUGCAUCUUGACCUACAGGCAGCCAUGAGGAGACUGGCUCAGCACUGGGCAUAUCUGGAGCGUAUAUAUGAGACCUCAAGCCCACCCACGGUGACACUUCCUCCAACAAGGCCAUACUUUCUAAUAGUGCCAUUCCUUAUGGUAAUGUAUAUUCUGCGCCAUAUGUUCAAAGUAUGUGGUCUGUUUUUUUAUUUUUAUUUUCUAGGGGAUUACAGUUAAGAGAUUGCCUAAGUCUCAGUAGAGAUUUGAACUUUAGAUUUUUUUAAACAUUGUUGAGACUGUGAU